rnacentral:lncRNA from 1 species
AGCAUUUGCCGGGUGGGUGACUGAUAGCAAAGCUGUGUUUCCUGGGGAAAAGUGUGGCAUCUUCAGUUUACAUCAACUUGCUCUCAUCUGAGACAAAACUCUGUGUGUCCCUGCUGCGAUGGAUGCCAGAUAGAGCCUGCUUGCCUAGGAUGGGGACAGAUGCCAUUGGAAACAGAUUGCAAGACCAUCACGAUGACUUCACGUCAGUGCCAGCAUAUGCAGCCGUGGAAUACAGUGAGCGCUCUCUGCGGCUGACAGCAAUAGCGGUGAUCUAAUUUACCCGGCGACUGGAAGAAACUCUUUGUACAGGCUCUGGGUCCCUUUGGAUUAGUGACUUCAAGGUCAACUGGAGGAGAAAGGAAGCAGGGCUGAGGGUCACCCUCUCCUGUCUCAUUUGCAUGCUCUUGAAUAUAUGAUUUUAAGAAACAUGCGUUUUUGAUCUGCAAUGUAAAAAUUCCUCAAUGAUUUUUUGUACAGAUGUGCAGAAUACAGGAAUGAAAUAAAAUAUUGAGAAUUUGUGGCCUCA